rnacentral:rRNA from 1 species
AGCAGCCGCGGUAAUUCCAGCUCCAAUAGCGUAUAUUAAAGUUGCUGCAGUUAAAAAGCUCGUAGUUGAAUUUCGGGACUAAUAUGUUGGUCGUGCCUCGGUACGUACUGAUAUUUUUGGUUUCUCCCUUCUGACGAACCUUGAUGUCAUUAAUUUGGUGUCUUGGGAAAUCAGGACUGUUACUUUGAAAAAAUUAGAGUGUUUAAAGCGGGCUCACGCUUGAAUACAUUAGCAUGGAAUAAUGAAAUAGGACGUUUGAUUCUAUUUUGUUGGUUUCUAGGAUUGACGUAAUGAUUAAUAGGGAUAGUUGGGGGCAUUAGUAUUCAAUUGUCAGAGGUGAAAUUCUUGGAUUUAUUGAAGACUAACUACUGCGAAAGCAUUUUGCCAAGGAUGUUUUCAUUAAUCAAGAACGAAAGUUAGGGGAUCGAAGACGAUCAGAUACCGUCGUAGUCUUAACCAUAAACUAUGCCGACUAGGGAUCGGAUGAUGUUAAUUUUUUAAUGACUCAUUCGGCGCCUUA